UACGUAGGGCGCAAGCGUUGUCCGGAAUUAUUGGGCGUGAAGAGCUCGUAGGCGGUUUGUCGCGUCUGCUGUGAAAACCUAAGGCUCAACCUUGGGCUUGCAGUGGGUACGGGCAGACUAGAGUGCGGUAGGGGUGACUGGAAUUCCUGGUGUAGCGGUGGAAUGCGCAGAUAUCAGGAGGAACACCGAUGGCGAAGGCAGGUCACUGGGCCGCAACUGACGCUGAGGAGCGAAAGCAUGGGGAGCGAACAGG
rnacentral:rRNA from 1 species